rnacentral:rRNA from 1 species
UACGGAGGAUGCGAGCGUUAUCCGGAUUUAUUGGGUUUAAAGGGUGCGUAGGCGGAUUGAUAAGUUAGAGGUGAAAUGUCCGAGCUCAACUCGGGGACUGCCUCUAAUACUGUUGAUCUAGAGAGUAGAUGCGGUAGGCGGAAUGUAUGGUGUAGCGGUGAAAUGCUUAGAGAUCAUACAGAACACCGAUUGCGAAGGCAGCUUACCAAUCUAUAUCUGACGUUGAGGCACGAAAGCGUGGGGAGCAAACAGG